rnacentral:lncRNA from 1 species
AUACGGUAGUUGGAUUGGGAUGACAUUAUUGAAAGACUGCAAAAGCAACGGUAACAAUCCACUUUUUGGAGCAUUUAAAAAUACGUACUUUUUUAAAAAAUUUCUUCAAAUACAAACUAAACUCCUUUUCCUGAAAUAUUCAAAACCUAAUUUGUAAAUCAAACUAUGAAUUUAACUCACAUGUGUGAUGCAUUUGAUUGCUCUAGCUUUCUUUUCUUUUUUUAACCUUAGGAAUAUUUCCCUUCUCUAAAAAUCCUAGAAAUAAUAUUUGAAUUUAUUCAAAUAUUAAUUCCAAAUCCAAAUCCAGUAACCCAUCUAUAAUGAUCCCUACUCUAAUUUCUUUCUGAAGAUUAUCCAAAUCUCAGCCCUUGAUCUCAUCCAUCGUCAUCUCCAAAAUCCUAGAAAUACUUUCUUUUCUAAAACCCUCGAAUUAAUAUUCAAAGGUAAUUUGAAUAUAAAUUUCCCAAAUCAAAUCCUAAUGCAAACUCUCACCAUGUCGCAUCCUAUAGAUCUCAACCUCUUCUUAAAAGUUCCCUUUCUAAGUCUUGUUUAAACGCACACCUCAAAACCCGUUUAAAUUCCCCAAAACCUCUUCCAAAUAAAUAAAAGCCUUUUGAAACCCCACGGGCCGCCAACCUCCCCUUCCCGGCCCACACUCCUUCUGGCCCAGACCGCUCCCGUCUUCCC